UCCCCGUUGCCGGGGCAGUCUGAUUAGAAAAAUACAACUAAUCACAAGGGUUGCGCUCGUUAAUGGACUUAACCAAACAUCUCACGACACGAGCUGACGACGGCCAUGCAACAUCCGUCACCGAGUUCAAUAAAGCACUCACUCCUUUCGGAGUAAUUCUCGGGAUGUCAAACCCUGGUAAGGUUCUUCGUUUAGCAUCGAAUUAAAGAACAUGAUCCACCGCUUGUGCGGCUCCCCGUCAAUUCCUUUGAGUUUUAGCCUUGCGGCCGUACUCCCCAGGCGGGGCGCUUAAUGCGUUAGCUACGGCACGGAUUCCGUGGAAGGAACCCACACCUAGCGCCCACCGUUUACGGCGUGGACUAC
rnacentral:misc_RNA from 1 species